AAUUUGCCUCGUUGUUUAUCACAUGUGUACAGUCUCGUGACCAGUGAGCCCGGGCAAGUGCCCGGGGUGGCCGGGCGCUGGCUCCGCCACUGCCCCUAGUGGAGUACUAGUAAUUUCCACAAGGUUUACAUUUCAAAACAGCUGUCGCCCCCACAAGCCAUACAUUGAUCUCUACUUUAAAUAAGCUUAGUAGCAGUGGAUUAUUCGUUGCAUUAUUGGAAGCGAUGUGUAGCAGGAGGAGGUCCGUCGCCUACUUCGCCCACGGCAGCCACCGGCUGCUCCCAGCGGACGCUGAUGACGACGGCGAGUUCACGUGCGACGGCUGUCUGGUUGCCGGCGCCGGGCCCCGGUACCUGUGCGGCCACCCCGGCUGUGGCUUCAAGCUCCACGAGGUAUGCGCGCGCAGCUUCCCCAGGACGCUCAAGUCCAUCGUCCACUCCCAGCACAGGCUGAAACAGCGCGAGAGCGCCGCCGCCGCCACCGCGGACCACGGCACCGGCGGCGGCAACGUCAGGUGCGAGGUGUGCGGGGAGGACGUGAAGGGCGCGUGCUACGGCUGCAGCACCGGUGCGUGCGCCUCCGCGACAGUCGUCGUGCACCCGCUCUGCGUCCGCCUGCCGCCCGUGGCGCGGGGUCCGGCCGUGGCGCACCCCUGCGGCCACGACGCGUGGCUCGUCAAGAAGUCGGAUGGCGGCGUGGCGUCCAUGUGCGCGGCGUCGACGUGGCGUGGAGGUACCGGUGCGGGACGUGCCGGGUGGACGUGCACCCGCGGUGCUUCGUGCCGCCUGCGGACCAGUGCCGCGGCGGCGAGGCGUCGGCCAUCUCCAUGGGGAAGCGCUGCUGCCUUGUGUUUGGGCAGGACUUGACGAGCUGCCUCAACAUCAGCUACUACUACCGUGGUGCUGGGUAGUACUAUAGUCAAAGAAAAAACAACCAUGUUUCAAACAAAAACAGCAUGAUGUUGCUAGACUCCUCUAUUCCACGUUACUACAUAUAGCAAAUGGCAUGGCAUUUCUAAUAAGAACAAUCCGGUCAUGCAAAUGGAAGAAGAAGGUACCAUGUCUCUUUCUAUUUUCCUGAACUGGAACUAGCGGCCGCUUCCGCUCGCAGUCUCGCCAUCACUGCAACGACAACAACCUCGCCGAGGACGCGCGCAGAAGCAUCAAUCCUCCGGGCGCAGCGGAGACCACAGCCACGAAACGCCGGGCCGAGGGCCCUCGGCCUGGCUCUCCGCAGCGCAGCCGCAUCACGCGGUGGAGGUGGCCCCGCGCCCGGCAGCCCGGCCUCCGCGCCGUGCCCCCGCGCUCCUCCCGUGGCUGCGCUGCGCUCGGCUGCCUCCCGGCCACCGCGCCGAGUCCCACGCCCGGCCGUGCGCCGCGCUACGCUGGCCGCCCUGCGGCCCGGCCUCCGCCCGGCCACGCGCCCUCUUGCACGCAGCCAAGACCGCCCGACUGUGGCCGCCGCCCUCCAACCGCCGGCGUCGUGUAGGAUGUGGGGGAUCGAGCGGGGUGGUGCGGGCUUCGGGUCUCCGACCCUUAUCCGUAACCGUCGCCUACUCUCUCUCUCUUAUGCGGUGUGGCGGCGGGUGGGCUGGCCAAAGGCCGUGGAGGCCCAAGCCCAGGCGCCUGGCGUGACCUCCGGCCGCCUUCUCUGGGCUGGAUUUCAUCGAUUUUUUCUCUCUUUGUUUUAUCAACAGAACUAAUUGCUGUAUUUUCUGUUGAGUUUAAAAUUCCAGAAAUAUGUCUAUAUUGAU